GUCUCUCUCUUUCACCUCGCAAACACGUGUCUGCUGCUGCAGCUGUGGAAAACUCCAGGGUCACAGAAAGAAUAGGUACUGGAAUAUCAUCCACUUAUUCAUGAACUGCCAUGUCCUAGUUGACAUAAGGGAUUCACAGCAUAUUAGGAGAGACAAGCAAAUCUAAAAUAUCUUAUAGUGGAAGC